rnacentral:rRNA from 1 species
GAUGGACGCUGGCGGCGUGCCUAAUACAUGCAAGUCGAGCGAACAGAUGAGGAGCUUGCUCCUCUGACGUUAGCGGCGGACGGGUGAGUAACACGUGGAUAACCUACCUAUAAGACUGGGAUAACUACGGGAAACCGGAGCUAAUACCGGAUAAUAUAUUGAACCGCAUGGUUCAAUAGUGAAAGACGGUUUUGCUGUCACUUAUAGAUGGAUCCGCGCCGCAUUAGCUAGUUGGUAAGGUAACGGCUUACCAAGGCAACGAUGCGUAGCCGACCUGAGAGGGUGAUCGGCCACACUGGAACUGAGACACGGUCCAGACUCCUACGGGAGGCAGCAGUAGGGAAUCUUCCGCAAUGGGCGAAAGCCUGACGGAGCAACGCCGCGUGAGUGAUGAAGGUCUUCGGAUCGUAAAACUCUGUUAUUAGGGAAGAACAAAUGUGUAAGUAACUAUGCACGUCUUGACGGUACCUAAUCAGAAAGCCACGGCUAACUACGUG